rnacentral:lncRNA from 1 species
CAUGCCUAAAAUCAAAUAACAAAACAACAUCUGAUCGGGCAACAACUAAAAUCCUAGGAUGCCAAUUGAACUCAAUACCAACCAUUUAUAAUUCUCUGCACCACUCGAAUCAUCCCAUAAAACUCUAAGUUUACUCCUUUUAACAUAGCCAUUGAGUUUCUGACAAUUAACAUAAGAAACUAAAUCAAACAAGAAUAGUGCACCAUUUUUUAACAAAACCACACUUGUUUUAGUUGUGUGGACUGCAACAAUC